CAGCGCUGCCGUUGGUUUCGCCCCGCGCGGACCAUAGCGACGGAGGGCGCGCCGAAGGAAGAUGGCGGUGGCGGCUCCACCGUUGCUGCCGGUUUCGUGAGCGCGGCGCUCGCUCUUCUCUCUGUCCCGUCCUCGCCCCUGCACCCGGCUCCUCCCGGCUGCUCUCAGCCUCUUCUUUCUCGCCGGGGCCGUAGAGAUCAUGUCGGACUCGGAGGAGGAGGAGAGUCCGGACCGCCAGCUCAAGCUGGUGGUGCUGGGGGACGGCACCACUGGCAAGACAUCCUUAGCUACCCGUUUUGCUCAAGAAACAUUUGGAAAACAGUACAAACAAACCUUAGGACUGGACUUCUUCUUGAAAAGGAUAUUAUUGCCAGGAAAUCUGAAUGUUACUCUUCAAGUGUGGGACGUAGGAGGACAAACAAUAGGAGGCAAGAUGCUGGAUAAAUAUAUUUAUGGAGCUCAGGGCAUUCUCUUGGUUUAUGAUAUUACCAAUGGCCAGAGUUUUGAAAAUUUGGAAGACUGGUAUAAUGUGGUAAAAAAAGUGAAUGAAGGAUCAGAAACACAGCCACUUGUGGCCUUGGUUGGAAAUAAAAUUGACUUGGAGCAUAUUCGCACAGUGAAAGCUGACAAGCACCAGCGAUUUUGUCAGGAAAACAACUUUAGUAGCCAUUUUGUGUCAGCCAAGACAGGAGAUUCUGUCUUCCUGUGCUUUCAGAGAAUUGCUGCUGACAUACUCGGCAUCAAAUUAAACAAAGCAGAAUUGGAACAAUCACAGGGUGAAGUUGAGCAGCUUAGCUUAAACUGCUGCUGAAAGUUGUUUUAAAGAGAAGCUGCCAGACUGUGCUGAAGUGGAUGAGGUGCAAGUACACGUUACAUUCCAGCAGCUCUCCUUUGGCAGCAAUGAUCUCCAGCAGAGGAAUAGGACAGACAUUUGGGGGUGAGAGUGGUGAAGGCAGAUAUUGUCAACUACAGUCAGGAGCCUGUGACAAGAACCGUCAAUCCUUCCAGAAGCUCAAUGUGUGCAGUUCAGUGACCACCCUGUUCUUCUCUGGCUAGAUACCUUUGCAGUGCUCCUGCCUUCAUGCAGGCUCUGGGAUACCAGGAACUUUGUUUUAACAGGGACCAGCACAACAAUGCCAUUAGGGGUUUCAGAAACAUCUUCACCAUUGUCCAUUACAAAGCAGCAGGCAGUUUUUUGACUGGCUCAAAUUCAAACAUGAGACCACACACUUGAAAAAUUUCAGUCUAUAUGCUUUAAAAUUAUAUUUAAAUGAAACUGUAUAACUGUGUUUAUGUUUCCUCCUCUCUAUUUGACUGAUACCAGAAUAAAAAUAGAUGAGGAAGCCCUGCACUCAAAAUGCUUUUAAAGACAUCAGCCUGGAAGGGUAUUUUGCCAAAGGAUUUUUAAUUUUUUUUUUCUUCAGUUAUUUGAACUAACACUCAACAAAAUGUUUCUUUGAAAAGCUGUUGUUGGAAUAAUUUUAAACACAUAAUAUAUAUUUUAUCUAGGGAUAAUUUUGAAUGUGUUCAGUUAAUAUAUAUACACUUAGCACAAAAUGUAUAAGUUGUAUCCAGUGAGAAACAGUGCUUGAAAUAAAGCUGUUGUUAUAAAAAUA